AUUGAACGCUGGCGGCAGGCCUAACACAUGCAAGUCGAACGAGUGGCGGACGGGUGAGUAAUGUCUGGGAAACUGCCUGAUGGAGGGGGAUAACUACUGGAAACGGUAGCUAAUACCGCAUACCAUCAGAUGUGCCCAGAUGGGAUUAGCUAGUAGGUGGGGUAAUGGCUCACCUAGGCGACGAUCCCUAGCUGGUCUGAGGGGAUGACCAGCCAAACGGGAACGGAGAAACGGUCCAGACUCCUACGGGAGGAAGCAGGGGGGAAUAUUGCACAAGGGGGGAAAGCCUGAUGCAGCAAGGCCGGGUGUGUGAAGAGGGCCUUCGGGUUGAAAAGCACUUUCAGCGAGGAGGCGUUACUCGCAGAAGAAGCACCGGCUAACUCCGUGCCAGCAGCCGCGGUAAUU
rnacentral:rRNA from 1 species